UACGGAGGGGACUAGCGUUGUUCGGAAUUACUGGGCGUAAAGCGCACGUAGGCGGAUUGUUAAGUCAGGGGUGAAAUCCCGAGGCUCAACCUCGGAACUGCCUUUGAUACUGGCAAUCUCGAGUCCGGAAGAGGUGAGUGGAAUUCCUAGUGUAGAGGUGAAAUUCGUAGAUAUUAGCUAGAACACCAGUGGCGAAGGCGGCCAACUGGUCCGGUACUGACGCUGAGGUGCGAAAGCGUGGGGAGCAAACAGG
rnacentral:rRNA from 1 species